UUCAAUGACUGUGUUUGUGCU
rnacentral:piRNA from 1 species